AGUGAACGCUGGCGGCAGGCCUAACACAUGCAAGUCGAGCGGCAGCACGGGUGCUUGCACCUGGUGGCGAGUGGCGAACGGGUGAGUAAUACAUCGGAACGUACCUUAUCGUGGGGGAUAACGCAGCGAAAGCUGUGCUAAUACCGCAUACGCCCUGAGGGGGAAAGCGGGGGAUCGAAAGACCUCGCGCGAUUAGAGCGGCCGAUGCCUGAUUAGCUUGUUGGUGGGGUAAAAGCCCACCAAGGCGACGAUCAGUAGCUGGUCUGAGAGGACGAUCAGCCACACUGGGACUGAGACACGGCCCAGACUCCUACGGGAGGCAGCAGUGGGAAUUUUGGACAAUGGGGGCAACCCUGAUCCAGCCAUGCCGCGUGAGUGAAGAAGGCCUUCGGGUUGUAAAGCUCUUUCGGCCGGGAAGAAAUCGCACAGGCUAAUACUCUGUGUGGAUGACGGUACCAGCACAAGAAGCACCGGCUAACUACGUG
rnacentral:rRNA from 1 species